AGAUUUUCUUAUUAUAGAAAGUAAACAACGACAAUAGUUUUGUUUCUUAAUUCUAAUGGCGAAGAACGAGAACAUUUUCUUAGAAGAAGGAUUAUGGACGCAUCAAAUCCGUUUGAGUUUGACGGUUUAAAAUUUGUAAGGAACUUUCGCCUCAAUAAACGGGAAUUUAAAUAUGUCUUGGAUGAGCUUUCCAUCGAGAUACAGGGGGGAACUUCUUUGUCCAUACCGUAGCACCGUCUUUACAUGGAGGCUCAUGGCUAUUGAGCUUCACGGCAGCAUCUCUCCAAAACCGGUCAACAUCUAUACGGUUUAUCAGGAUUUCUUUUUGUUCCCUAUUUGUCCAAUUUGAAUAUGACUGUGCCCUUUAUGAAAUAACAAAAAAAAACUCGUCAAUAUAACCAAUUUCGUUUAAUUAUCGUAUAAAAAUUGUUAAAACUUACAUCUUUCUUCAGCUAUUCACCAGAAAAUAUCUGAACGACACAAAAAUGACAUUUGGUUCGAAUCAUUCGAAAGUCAAAAUUUACUUAUUUUUUUUUUAAUGAACUUUCGAUUGAAUCAGCAAACUUUCGAAUCGAUCGAAUCUCAAAAUAAAAUCUUCUCGAAUUCGAAUAACUUUCGAUCGAAAACGAAUCUCAAAAUAAGGGUGA